rnacentral:piRNA from 1 species
UGCAGGAGCAGGAAGCUGAGAGCUUGUA